CUCUCCGGAAACUUCCUGGACGCCAGGUGGCCCAGCGCUUGUGGGGAGAGAGGAGACAGCCGCACGGGGUACGGCCGACUGAGAGCUCCCCAGCCUGCACAGCCGGGGUCUCACUUAAAACUCAGAGCACCCCUCUGAGGAAGGGAACCCUGGAGCAGCCCAUCUGCAAUGUGUCGUCCUGCUUCCCCCGCCGUCCGCCUGCAGCUCCCCAGCUCUGCCCGGGCCGUCACAGCACCUUACGUGUGAGGACUGGAAGCUGCCUGGCUCCUGAGUCACUAAUGAAGACAAUUCGACCUCAGGAAGGAAA